UAGCUCAGUUGGUAGAGUGCUUGCCUCACAUGCACAAGGGUCUGGGUUUAAUUCCCAG
rnacentral:tRNA from 1 species